rnacentral:lncRNA from 1 species
AUCCACUUAGACAAAUUCAUGUGAAGGCUGCAAAAUCCACAAGACUUUGCUGAUUAGCAUCUAACUACUUUACUUCUAUCUUCUCUUUCCCAAACUUAAAUCAAUAUUUUUAUGUCCACAUAUGUAUCUACUUUCUCUUAAUUGAGUGUGUGUUUAUCUUAUUUCCUCCAUUAAAUUGUGAGAUUCCUGAGGGUAAAAACCAUGUCUAAUCUAUGUUCUAAAUUCCCCUUAGCACCCUGUUCACAAUGCUGUGCUUAAGCUAAAUGAAAUCACAGCUCAGAGAGAAACACCAGGGCCCCUGGCGCUGCAGACUGGGAUGGAGUCCAUGGGUUCCAGGAGAAUCUGUUCCAAGGCAGCUUUCCUUUGAGCUUCCUCCAGCCUUCUCUGGGAACAGCUGCUGAAGGAUGGUCAGGAGGAGGUAAGCAAAGCUUUAAUUGGUUCCUGAGGUAUGCAGCUUCCUUCAUGAUAUGAACAUGAUGGAGGGAAUUUUAAAUGGACUCUGAUAUUGAAUCAGUAGACAGAGAAUGGAGAAAAAAAUCAUAUUGAUCAAGAGACUUUCAAAAAUGGAAUAUUCUGUAACAAUAAGGAUUAGUUCUAAAAUAUCUUGGUCUAUUUCCAACUCUGUAAUUUUUAAUAUAUUUGAUAGUCUUUUUCCUCUAUCUUAAUUCCUAAGCAGGAAUAUUUACUAAACUAUUACUUCAUCAUUAUCAUCAUCCAGGUGAAAUAAGUCAUCAAUACAUUUUUAUCUGCUCUGUAUUAUAAGUAUAGUCUGUGGUUUAAAAUUAGUUAACCAGAUUUAACCUCUGUUUUCUGGAGUUUUAAGUAUGAAAAACAAUCUUAUGCUGGCAAACAUUAUGUGAAAAAACAAUAUAAUUGCACAUUUAUUGUAUAGUUUCGUUUGCCAUUUUUAUGUAGCAAAGAAGAACAUACAUCAUGACACUUAUGGUGGAAAAACUGUUGCUUAUGUUUUAUAGUUAAGACAGUCUUGUAGAAAAUUAAGGAGUGAUUUGUUUGUUAAUUAAUGCUUAUGUGUGCCAGGCAUUGCUUGGGGUACAGCAAUGAACAGAAAGUGAGAAAGCAGAAGAAAUCAGAGCACUGGGCUGGCUAGACAGUGUCAGUAGAUUUACUUAGAUGAGUCAGAUGAGAAAGAAGAGGAUAAUCUGAUACUCUCGUGAGACCAGGAAGAGGAAUCAAGAACACAUAAUUGUCUACAAACCUGUAGUUCAAUGAUCUCAGCUGACCUUGCUCAUUCCUGGCCACUCAACUGUGAUCUGGCUUUGGGCUGGCCUGUCUAAUACGGCUUUAGUUUGGAAUGACUCAGCUCUUCUCUGAGUGGUCCCUCACACUCCAGCAGCUACUCUGGGUUUGUUUUCAUGAGGGUUUAUUUUCAAGGAGAUUGAGUGGAAAUGUGAAAGACUUCUUGAGGCCUAGGCAUGGAACUUCCAUGGCAUCCUACGGGUCAAAGGAUGUUGUAUUGACAGCCCAGAUUUAAGGAGUGGGUAAGUAGAUUUCACUCCUUGAUGGAACUUGCUUUCAAGUAAUAUUCUGAAGGGUAUAGAUGUGAGAGGGGUUCAGAAUUAGAAUGAUUUUUUAAAAUAAUUUCCCAUUAUAGUUUAUUAUGGGAUCUUGAAUAUAGUUCCCCAUGCUAUACAUAGGACCUUAUUGUUUAUACAGUAAUAGUUUGCAUAUGCUAAUCCCAAACUCCCAACAUAUCCUUCCUCCAUCACCCCCCUGCCCUUGGCAACUACAAGCCUUUUCUCUAAUGUCUGUAUGUUCUGUUUUGUGAAGUUCAUUUGUGUCAUAUUUUAGAUACCACAUAUAAGUGAUAUCAUAUGAUACUUGUCUUUUCUCUGACUUACUUCACUUAGUAUGAUCAUCUCUAGGUCUAUCCAUGUUGCUGCAAAUGGCACUAUUUUUUUUCUUUUUUAUGGCUGAGUACCAUUCCAUUUUAUAGAUGUACUACAUCUUCUUUAUCUGUUCAUCUGUUGAUGGACAUUUAGGUUGCUUCCAUGUCUUGGCGAUUGUAAAUAGUGUUGCUGUGAACAUAGGGGUGCACAUAUCCUUUUGAAUGAUGGUUUUGUCUGGAUAUAUGCCUAGGAGUGGGAUUGCUGGAGCAUAUGGCAACGCUUAUUAGAGUCAUUUUUGCAACUAGUUUACCUCAUUGGUAAUUAAUAAUUUUGAGUAAUAAUGGUACCAUUCAAAUCCCUCUUCAAAAGAAAAUUAAAAAUUUUCUGACUGUACUUGUCAGAAUAUGUUUGUUAGGCAGUGCUUGUCAUUUUGUGGGCUAGUAUCUAGUUAGAAUUCUAGAGGUUAACAGCAUCAACAUCAUUCCUUGCCAAUGCUCUAAGUAUAGAUAUAAGGUGGUUAUAAGUUGAAGAGUAAACAUUUUACUCCUUUCUAGCUAGUUACUUAUAUGCUCACCUCUUUUUCUAGUUUUGCUAUCCACCCUGGAAAGGAGAAGUUGCUAAUUUUACAUGUCAGGUAGUGUGUGAGCUGCAGAUCUAUUUGGUGGUCAUGGUGAAGUCUAAGAACUUAAGUCAUAGAACUUAAGUCUAAGUUCCAGACUCUUUUACAUGAUUUCUGUCUCCCAUGUUCUAGAGUAAACCUAUCCUGUGGGCCAAGCUCAUCAAGUUUUCUUUCCCAACUCUACUUCACUAAAAGUAUAACAAACCUUGGCUUGCCCUGAAACCCGACUCUUCUCUCAGGAUUAAGAUUGGAGAAGUGGAAAAGUAUGGUGUUCUAGAAGGGUGAAAACAAAGCCUCUGAUUGUCUCUGCUAUAAACCAACUUUUACCAAAUAGUCUGACAAGAAUCAUUGUCCUUGCCUAGAUAUUAAUGAAGUGGUGCCUUAAUUCUCCUUCUAGUAGUGUUUUUGUAUGAGACUUUCUCAGAAAUAUUAUAAAUGCCAGAAUCUCACCAUACUUCCUAAUAGUCUCCUUAAUACAGUCUCUAGGCCUUUUGAGCUUCUCAGAAGUUAUGUAAAAAGGUUGUUGAUAGAAGUGAGCAAGAAAUGGUGAAAAGAAGCAAAAUGAAUACAGUGCCCAUGUUAGAAAACUUUCUCAACUGUGUGACAACUUGGUGAUUUCAGUGUGCAGAACUUUGGCCAGAAUUUUUCAUCAUAUCAUUUUGCACAGUUUCAUGCUUUCUUACAUUUCCUUUGAAGCUCCCCAAGCUUAAAAAUAUGGGAGCAAAAAUGAAGAAAAAUAUGUUUCCAUGAAUUUUUCUUAAUUUGAGCCAAAAUUCUUAGACCUGCAUGGACCUUAUUUGAAAGUGUCUCCAAGGACCAAUGGAUGGCACUGCUCUCCAUCCUCUGAUAUAUCUAUAAUGUGGCUUGGGAAUCAGAAUGUACUAGACAAAACUCUGUAAAUUUCCAAGUAGUUUCAGAAUAAAGGUGACAUGGACCUAUUGUAAUCGCUAGAUGAGUCAUUUCUUAAGUUCUCUUCAUUUGUGAUUUUUUUGGGUCUGUGUCUGUGUCAUGUGGAAGUUCCCAGUCCAGGGACUGAACCUGUAUCACAGCAGUGACCUGAGCCACUGCAGUGACAAUAUUGAGUCUUUAACCUGUUGCACCGCAAGGGAACUCCCAUUUGUGAUUUUUAUUCAUUGUAAGAAAAUAGGGGAAAAAAAGCUACAUUUAAUAUUGUAGAUACCAAUAAAAGAUGGUAACCAGUUAAUCUUCCUUUUAGAAAUCAGUAACUUAAGCUGAACUGCCACAACUUGAGAAAUAAAUAAAAAUAGGGGAAUGAUUGAUAAGAAAAACUUUUCUAACAAUUCUAUAGCAUUCUGUCCUAUUUAGGAGUUCCACUGGGAUAGGAUUAAAGUUAUAGCCUAAAGAAGUGAGAAUGAGGGUCCCUGAGCUAUUAAGAAUCCUUGCUUUCUAUCAUAACAUUAAAUUAAUUUUAAAAGGUAUAGCUACUACACAAGACCAAUUUCCAGAGUAAAAUUUUUAAAAGAUAUAUUGGAAUUUUAAAGAUGCUUAUUUAGAAUAGUAUCUGGCAUUCUAUGAAGUCUUAAAAAGUAUUCACUAAAGGAAAAUAGGAAAAAUGACAAAACAUUUGAAGAUUUUAGGCUACCAGUAUAGGAUGGUGACCUGUUAAGAGGAACUUUGUGAUUAUUAUCUGUUUGCUUUUCUUCCAUAUCUUUCAGAUGCCUUAUUGUCACACAGAGUUGUAAGGAAGCGAUCCAUCCUCAAAGUUAGCUAACCAUAUACAGAUAUGAUAAUCUGGACACUGUGGGGUCAGCACAAAGAAACACCUCAGUUAGGUUUCUCUAAGAAACAGUGUGGAGGAGGAGAAGAAAAAUACCUCUUUUAGUAAAUGACAUUUUGGAAUUUGGCAUAUAUGGUUUAUUAUCUAUUUAGUUAUAUGUGGUGUAGACAAAGGAAGUUGAACAAAGGAAAAAAUAUUGUGCAUACAAAAUAGAAUUAAAUUCAACACACUCAGUUUCUGGAGAAAUGAGCUUUUGUUGUCCUUUAGGAAUGAACAGUUAGUAAGGUUCAAGGAAGUUCAACAAUUGUAUCUGAUUCCUAUUUUAAUUGAUUUUUCCUUGAUACAUUUAGCAGGAACUGGAUAAAAUAGAUAAUAAUUUCAAUUUUCACUGCUAUUUUGGAAACUGAUAAGGGUAAAGAAGGUCAAAACUGUUCUUUUAAGAUU